UGGGAGCAUCGAAGGAGUGUAAUCGGAGUUCGAUUAUGGCUCAGAUUGAACGCUGGCGGAAUUACUUUACAUGCAAGUCGAACGGCAACACGGACUUCGGUCUGGUGGCGAGUGGCGAGCAGGUGAGUAAUGUAUCGGAACGUGCCUAGUAGCGGGGGAUAACUACGCGAAAGCGUAGCUAAUACCGCAUACGCCCUUCGGGGAAAGCGGGGACCUUCGGGCCUCGCACUAUUAGAGCGGCCGAUAUCGGAUUAGCUAGUUGGUGGGAGUAACGGCUCACCAAGGCGACGAUCCGUAGCUGGUUUGAGAGGACGACCAGCCACACUGGGACUGAGACACAGCCCCAGACUCCUACGGGAGAGCAGCAGUGGGGAAUUUUGGACAAUGGGGAAACCUGAUCCAGCCAUCCCGCGUGUGCGAUGAAGGCCUUCGGGUUGUAAAGCACUUUUGGCAGGAAAGAAACGGCGCGGGAUAAUACCCCGUGCAACUGACAUACCUGCAGAAUAAGCACCGGCUAACUACGUGCCAGCAGCCGCGGUAAUACGUAGGGUGCAAGCGUUAAUCGGAAUUACUGGAGGCGUAAAGCGUGCGCGAGCGGUUCGGAAGAAAGAUGUGAAAUCCCAGAGCUUAACUUUGGAACUGCAUUUUUAACUACCAGCUAGAGUGUGUCAGAGGAGGUGGAAUUCCGCACGUGUAGCAGUGAAAUGCGUAGAUAUGCGGAGGAACACCGAUGGCGAAGGCAGCCUCCUGGGAUAACACCCCGGCGCUCAUGCGCGAAAGCGUGGGAGCAAACAGGAUUAGAUACCCUGGUAGUCCACGCCCUAAACGAUGUCAACUAGCUGUUGGGGCCUUCGGGCCUUGGUAGCGCAGCUAACGCGUGGCAGUUGAUGCCGCAAGUACGGUCGCAAGAUUAAAACUCAAAGAUUGACUAGCGGGGACCCGCACAAGCGGUGGAUGAUGUGGAUUAAUUCGUGCAACGCGAAAAACCUUACCUACCCUUGACAUGUCUGGAAUCGAGAUUUGGGAGUGCUCGCAAGAGAACCGGAACACAGGUACUGCAUGGCUGUCGUCCAGCUCGUGUCGUGAGAUGUUGGGUUAAGUCCCGCAACAGGCAGCCUUGUCAUUAGAUUGCUACGAAAGGGCACUCUAAUGAGACUGCCGGUAAAUAAACCGGAGGAAGGUGGGGAUGACGUCAAGUCCUCAUGGCCCUUAUGGGUAGGGCUUCACACGUCAUACAAUGGUCGGGACAAAUUCGCCAGCUGCAGAGGGAGCCAAUCCCGAAGCCGAUCGUAGUCCGGAUCGCAGUCUGCACAGCUCGACUGCGUGAAGUCAGGAAUCGCUAGUAAUCGCGGAUCAGCAUGUCGCGGUAGACUCGUUCCCGGGUGCUUGUACACCGCCCGUCACACCAUGGGAGUGGGUUUUACCGAAGUAGUUAGCCUAACCGUAAAGGAGGGCGAUUACGGUAGGAUUCAUGACUGGGGUGAAGUCGUAACAAGGUAA
rnacentral:rRNA from 1 species